rnacentral:rRNA from 1 species
UACGGAGGGUGCAAGCGUUGUUCGGAAUUACUGGGCGUAAAGCGCGUGUAGGCGGACCGAUAAGUUGGGAGUGAAAGCCCUGGGCUCAACCCAGGAAGUGCUUCCAAUACUGCCGGUCUUGAGUUCCGGAGAGGGUGGUGGAAUUCCCGGUGUAGAGGUGAAAUUCGUAGAUAUCGGGAGGAACACCAGUGGCGAAGGCGACCACCUGGACGAGAACUGACGCUGAGACGCGAAAGCGUGGGGAGCAAACAGG